UGUUCACUUCAGGUUCAGCUCCUUAAAGACCAAAAGAGAUGUCUCUCGGUGCUAGACCAAGGGCUGUCCACAAAGACCUGAGUAAAGCAUCUGCAGGACCCUGGUCUUCAUCAUCUAGUCAGCUUGCCCUUGGCAGCCAGACCUCGAACAGGCUCUCAAAUGUUGCCUCUUCUGAUCGCGUUCACAAAUGUCAGUCUUUACACCAGGAGAAAGGCCAGCAAGAGGAACUCCAGGCCCAUCAUGGAGGACGGUCGGAAAUGUCAAGGUGGGACAAAAUCUUCAAACACAGAGACAGUUCUGGGCGUACUCUGAUGCUUUUGCAAAAAUGUUCCUAUAAAAGGGUUUCAUCUUCAAGGAAUUCAUGGAAAAGACUCUGACAAGUACAGGUUUCUGGUAACUGACUAUACUGCUGAACUGAAUGAAUAAGCAUUUUCAGAACUCUAAUGGAAAACUGAUGAACUCUUAAAACUGCUAACAAAAGAUCAAGAUGAAAAAAAAAAUUAAUUACAUGGGACUGAGUGAACUGAUGAGGAUGAUUAUAAUUUUUGUGACUUUCUAUUGAAUAAAAAAAAAAAAAGAAACUACUAAAACUGUUUUGCAAAGUAGCUAUACACAUUUUACACACCCAACAUAAAUGUAUGAUUGUUUCUUCACAUACUCAAUAACAGUUGGUAUUGUUAGUCUUUUUAAAAAUAUCCCUCUUCUCAGUGGGUAUAGAGUGAGAAAGUUCUAGAGAACUUGUGUAUGACAUUGUGCCUGCAGUUAAUAAUAUUAUACUGCAUACUUAAACCUCUUUGAAGAGGGUAUAUAUCAUGUUAUAUGGU